UUAGCGAUCUACCACGUUAUCUUCCCCCACCCGCUUUCUCAUACAAUCAUAUUCAGAUUCCACCGCGUUUCCAAAAACCUUCCACAUCUCUGUAAAGUCAUCGACUUCAGAGAGUUAACGUCGUACAAUCGAUCUCCACCGCUUCACCUUUUUCUGUUUCUACACUGGCUUCCGAAGUGUGAGACACACGAUCCUCCAUCGGCUUAUUCCAGAAAAGCGGCACUGCCUCUGGCUGCGCUUCAAAUAAUAUCACCGUCAAUUCCAUGCCCCCGGUCACUUCGGCACCUUCGUGAUUAUAUGGCUGGUGAACAGGAGCAUAUUUACACAAAGCAAGAGAGUGCAAGAAACAACUGGGAACAAACCGUGGGGGAGAUUGAUGCAGUCGGAGAUAGCGACUCCAAAACCCAUAUCGUAACUUCCUCAAACACGAGUUGCUUUCCUCUGCGGUAAUAGAUGUGCAGAUCUUUUGCCUUUACUUCAACGUCAGCGUGCGACAAAUCUCGGGGUUGCUACUCCAUAUUUUGAGUAAUUUUGGGACCGCGUUCAUCCACCCUCGACCUUUGUGUUAUUUUUUGUGAUUAUGGUUGUAUUGAGUCGUCGUUCUAAUCAGAAGUUGUUAAGUUGCUUCCGUUAUUCUAAAUCAAGACCCGUAUGUUACUUUCCUGCCUUUUUCCGUCACCGUUUCUUUUUUUGUUUAACAGCCUCUGAUGCUGACCCCUGCCACUUCAAUCGCCGAAUUCCAGCGACCAUUUCCACCAAGCGAAUCAAUUGUGUUUCUUGCAACAAAUGUUGAUACGGCGUUUACAUAAGUCCUUUCAUGUCCUUCAAAAAGGCAUGCACUUAAUAACUACGAUUCUUCUAAAAUAUAACCCAAUCUUAACUUUCGAUUGGAGUUUUGCAAAACCUCCACCGGCUGUCAUCUGCUUCGGAUGUCUUUUUUUCGUUUUAAUUGGGUCGAUACUUGUAUUCCAGAGUGAAUCGACGAUGCCUCCACCUCUGAUUUCUCGCAUAUGUGUGGUUUUAACAACUGAAGCUGGUGAGAUAUGUUCAUCGUUUACAUAGUCAGGUAAUUUUUUCCCCUGUAAUCAUUCAAAAAAACCACAAAUAUUCCACCUUUUCUGCCAUCAACUUCUGUCGAAUUCUUUGAUUAGAGCCUUAACUUGGUACCAUUUUUACACAAUGAGUCUUCCUAUCCAUCAGUACGUAGAUGGCAUGCUAAUCGAGCAACAGAUGGAGAGUAUAUAAGUGAACAACUGGAAUUCUUCAAUAAGUACGUAGAUGGCAUGAAUGAUGGGUACUUCUUUCCAAUAACAAAAGUACCAUUGAUUUUGCACUAGAUGAUAUAAGAUCCCUGGUUGGCCAGUUUUCUAAUUGGCACGUGAACUUGAAGUGAUUGAUUGACAUUGGCCUAUAUAUCUACGUACAUGGUCCUUUAUUCAUCUCAUAUCCCGUUUCCGGUACCAAUGUUCGUCUGUAAUCUAGCUUCAUAAAGUUCUCAGUCUUGUGGAACAAUGGAUUUGCACUAAUUCACACACCAAAAGCAACUGUAUGGCUUCUUCAUAGAAUAGAGGUGGAAUAGAGUCAAACCAAUGCGCUUCAAAAGGUUUUAUAUUACCUUAACUAUUAUAUAUUUCAUGGUAUACUGUUUGGUUCUAAGCACUGAAACAUUUUUCUGUUUCAUUUUACUUACUUCUUGGUUUAUGUUGGACUGUAUAAGAAUCUGCAAGAGGCUAUAAGCAGGGAAUUUGUUAUUGGACGACUGGAUCAGUUGGAGUUAACUGAUUACUAAUAAAAAAAGAAAAGAACUCUUAAAAAAAUGCACACUAUAAUGAUUCUAAUUGAAGUUGACCACUGGGGUAUAAAUUAUCUUAUUAGAAGUAUACACUGACAUUGAUAAUAUAAGUAUAGACUGACAUUGAUAAUAUAAGUAUAGACUGACAUCUUCAUUUGCAAUUUAGUGGCGCUGCGAUGAAUAGGAAAGCUGUUUGACAUCUCUUUCUAUUGUAAUCAUUUCCUUAUAUUGUCCUUUGAGAAAAUUACAUCCAUACCCUUGCAGGAUAACAACGAUUUUCAUUGAGACAUUUCUUCCCAAAAUGGGAAUCAUGUUAUGCAGACAACAGUUCUUGACCCUGCAGAUUAUGCAGGCCUUGAAGCUGCAUUAGACAACCACAAAUGCUAUGUGGAUUAUGGUGGGAUCAAAAGCAAUUGGAAUUCAAAAUUCCAUUCUGUAAUCUGGUUUGUUGCCAAAUGAUUUGAAGCCUAGGAGCAACCCCUAAGGACAUAUCCCCUGAAAUGAUUGCAGGUCGAAGAAGGAAGCACAAUGUUUUUUUAGUGUCAACAACUUCGAUAUCAGAGCGUAUAUCUUCUUUAAAUAUUACCUGAGUAAGAAUGCAUAUUACAAGCUGAGAUAAACAUAUAAAACGCGUGUUUGUAAACAUAUAAAACAUGCAUAUUACAGGCUGAAUUAUAGUAAACUACUUGUGUAAUUUAAAAAAAAUGGCAAUAGGGGAAAAUGGUCCCAAAUGUUUUGUUUUGUUUA